rnacentral:misc_RNA from 1 species
GUAGGUGAACCUGCGGAAGGAUCAUUAUUGAAUGAACUUGGUAGUGGUUGUAGCUGGCUCUCUCGAGAGCAUGUGCACACCCGCCAUCUUUAUCUUUCCACCUGUGCACUUCUUGUAGACUUUGGGAUUUGAAAACUUAUCCGGGGCAACUCGGUCGGGAGGAGCUGCUGUAGCAAUACGGCUCUCCUUGACAAGUCUUCAAAGUCUAUGUUUUUCAUAUACCCCAUAGUAUGUAACAGAAUGUAUACAA